rnacentral:rRNA from 1 species
GAUGAACGCUGGCGGCGUGCCUAAUACAUGCAAGUCGAGCGAACAGAUGAGGAGCUUGCUCCUCUGACGUUAGCGGCGGACGGGUGAGUAACACGUGGAUAACCUACCUAUAAGACUGGGAUAACUUCGGGAAACCGGAGCUAAUACCGGAUAAUAUAUUGAACCGCAUGGUUCAAUAGUGAAAGACGGUUUUGCUGUCACUUAUAGAUGGAUCCGCGCCGCAUUAGCUAGUUGUUAAGGUAACGGCUUACCAAGGCAACGAUGCGUAGCCGACCUGAGAGGGUGAUCGGCCACACUGGAACUGAGACACGGUCCAGACUCCUACGGGAGGCAGCCGUAGGGAAUCUUCCGCAAUGGGCGAAAGCCUGACGGAGCAACGCCGAGUGAGUGAUGAAGGUCUUCGGAUCGUAAAACUCUGUUAUUAGGGAAGAACAAAUGUGUAAGUAACUAUGCACGUCUUGACGGUACCUAAUCAGAAAGCCACGGCUAACUACGUG